AUGAAUCGUACCCGCAGCUAUGACGAUUUUAUUAUAAAUGCGCCUAAAGCAAACUACGAAUAUUCAAAGUAUUUUCUACACUAGUUAUGAUAUUAAUGUGAGGGCCAUAAAUUAGGGGGUUCAUUUGUGAAUGGCACGCCUCGAUUUAUUUUAAAAGAUUUGUACUCAAUUAAAGCAAUAUAUGGAUGUUCAUAUUUAAAACUAAUUUGAAAUUAGGUAUCACAGCUACGUCACGGGAAUCGUACCCGUAAUCGUGAUGAUUUAAUUACGCGCCUAAAGCAAGCUACGAUGUCAUGAUUUUCCUAAAACUAAUUUGAGACUAUCACAAGGUUAUAUGAAUUGCGGAAAAACCAUUAUUAUGGAUAGAACAUAGAAAGAUUGAAAUAAGUCUAAGGUCUAGUGACGUGAGCAUUAAUGGUUUUGAACAUCAGUUAAUUAAUUUAUCAUUCAAGGCUCAUAAAUUUUGAAAGCAGCUAUUUGAAGAAUCGUGAGUAAUUGGACUUAAUGCUUCUAGAAAAUCCUUAUUAGCACACAUGCCUUGUAUUUUUCAAAAAAAAAAGAAACGACUAUACCAUUCAACAUUAUAGCUCAACAAAGUAAAGUAAGUGAUUGAACAAUGAGCUUCUAUCAUUUUAAACAUUUGUAGUUUACAUGAAUAGCCACCAAAACAAAUAUAUUGUCGAUUAUAGGAUACAUCAUCACAAAGGAAUAAAAUAAACCAACAAUUAAACUCAAACUCAUGUUAUCCAAGUUCAGACAAUGCAUUAGAAGAAGACGAACUAAUUUUGGCAGAAAAAAUCUGUUUUAAUUACAUUUUUAUAUGCUGAAUCAAACUAGAUGAGGUAUUUAAAACUAGCAGAGGACUUUUAACUUCAAGUAUGUAUAUAAUCUUCAAGCAGCAAUCCCCAGCCUGAUCUCCAAAUCUUGAUAGCAAACUAAUGAACAAUUAUUUCCAAUUAAUAUGACAGUGGAAUCACAGGAUCCUCCAUUCCUAAAAUUUUUAAACUGAACUUCUUCCAAACCACACAUGGCCACGUGAUGAUCAGACUUCAAUUAUACCACACUAAAGGUUAUCCCAAACAUGAAUCAUCAUUUUAACAAUAAUGUAUCACUAGAAAAUAUUGAGAUCAAUCUAUGAAGAAUCAGCAAGUUGAACAUUUAAAUUAGAACACACCAGCAACAUCCAGGAUUAACAGAAUAAUUACUCUAAUUAACUUUGAAGUCUUAAACAUGCUGGAUCCAUUAAACACAAAGCAUAACAAGAUAACUCAUAUUCCAUUUAGAAAUGCAAUGGAGAAUAACAAUUGGAACCUGUACAUAUCUAAAAUGCAGAGUAACAGCAGAAACUUGAGCAAAUAAAGGUCAUAAAAGAAGAUGAAAUCCAACAGCAAGAAACAACAAUAAACUCAACAAUUAGGGAGAUAGUUCCGCAGCUUGAAAUGGAAUUCGAAAUCCCUAAAAAAUUAAGCAAAAACAGCAAUAAAUAACCCCAAAUUUCUGCUCCAACCUCCGAAACCCCAGCAAAAAUACCUCAAGAACAAAGAAAAGCUCAAAUUUUCUCAAGAAUACUUUUUAGAUUUUGUUUUGUGUUAAGCCGUUUUCUCUAUCUCAUUCUUUUUUCUCUCCCUCUAAUGAUUGGAAAAAAGGAUCUUUUAUAGAGGAGAUUUAGGGAAACAAAGCCUGUUUUUCCUCACUCAAAUGCACCCUUUAAACUUUAAUUUAAUUCACUUACACCCCUGCCCAUAGAAUUUUCCCCCUUUUCCCCCUGAAAUGAUCUUAGUCAACCCUUAUCUAGAAGCUUCCCAUUUGUUAGGAUAAGAUUCCCUCAAUUCCUAUCCAAUUUGAACUCCUAUGUACCCCUGUAUUUACCCCUUUUUACUAUUUUGACACUUACCUCAAGUGUUACUGGACCUCUGGGCCACUUAAACCACAAACCCAACAUUUCCCUUGGGCCCUUGCACCAACAGACCCAAAUCCGAACCCAACCCAUAAACCAAAACAGUUCUAUGAAGAAUUAAACCAAGCUCUUGAAUAAUCAAAGAUUAAUGAUGCAUUUUUAGAAAGGAAAAAAAACUAUACAUUACAGAUGCAAUUAUGUCUAAUUAUUGAGCUAUUAACACAGUUUAAUCAAUCAUGCACUAGAACAUAAUUUUUAGACAUAAAAUUGUCAUCACAGUAGGGGUUAUGAAGAAUAGGAGGAAAGGCAUACCGAUUAAAUCGCCAAAAGCUUCGACAACUCGGAGAAAAGCAGUAACGAAUCAAUUUGAACUCUGGCGAACAAGAAACUCGGCCAAUGGUGGGAAUUGCAACAUGAAUACUAGCAGGACUUUCUUCCACAGCUAGUCCUUCAUGUCACAAUCCUCAACAUAUGCCAAGAAAGAGACGAGGCAGAGGUUUCAAGCCAUUUUGGACAAUCAAUGAUUAUUUACCCAGAAUCCGGCCAAUCUGUGAAAUAGGACAACCUUAACAUUAAACAACUCCUUACAUUGAAAAAUAAGGAAUUCAAGUAGGUUUCAUCAUGAAUUGAGGACCAGGUCAAAAAAAUCGAACAAAAAGUAAAAAGUUUGGAUUUUUAUUCUUAGAUCUCAAAUUCGGAGAAUAUGAGUGGCCUUUUGGAGAAAUCAAUGGUGGGUUAUGAACGAGGGGGUGAUGGAAAUUUGAGGGCUUUUGGAAGUGGUCCGCGGCGGAGGAACGGUGGAACAGGCGGUGGUCUUUGAGAGAGACAUGAAUUAGGUUUAGAAUUAAUUGAAUGAAUUAUGAGGCCAGGGGGUUGAGUUUAGUCGUUUAAUAGGGUAAAGGGGUUGAAACGCCGUAGUUUUGAAGUGCAACUACAUCAUUUUGGUGAGGGGAGGUUGGACAGGGUAAGGGUGGUCUGGGCCUGGGUGGUUUGGGCGAAAUUCUUUUGAAAUCAAUUGGCCAAUUUAAAAUUUGGCCCAGCAUGUCAAGACCAAAAUUAAUCCCUCUCUUUUUAUUCUUCUUUUCUCUGUUUUUUUUCUUUUUCUUUUCCUUAAUUAAAAUCUUAAAUUAAAUCCUAACUUGUAAAAUUAAGCUAAUUAUCUAAUUAUAGCAUUUACAAAAAUUAGUUGAUCCAAAAUUAAAAAGGAGAAAAUUACUAAUCUAAAAUUUAAAGAUGAAAAUGUAACAAUGAGGAAAUGUUUUUGUGAUUUUUCAUUUUAAUAAAGCAAUUAAUUAGCUAAUCAAUCCCAAAAUCUGAACACAAAUUCUAAUAUGUAAUGCAUGAUAUUUUUGACAUUUUUGGAGCAUUUUCAUGAUUUUAGUAAAAAUUAAACGUGCACAAAAAAUGCGAACAAUUAAUAAAAUCCUUCAAAAAAUCCUAUAAAAUGGCAAAUAAUUGGGAAAAAAAAAUCUAUUUCUUUGAUUUUAUAGGAGUAUUUUGAUUAGGGCAAAAAUCACAUGCUCAUAAUAGACACGAGUACCUAGCUUGUAAGAUAUUGACUGUUGCAUGAUGUAAUGUUAUUUAUGCAUAAAUAUGUUCCCUAUGGACAGUCUAUGAAUGUGUAUGGGUAUAGUAAAAUGCAUAGGUAAGCUAAAGGUUGGAUAUAGACGAUCCCAUGUGUAUGCAUAGUCCGACCCGAAUAUUUUGACCCGUAUGGAUGGUCUGCUUUGCUACGUGUAUGUGCCACCAGAUAGUCAUAUUAUAGUGUGCCUUACGGACGGUCUACCUUGCUAUGUGUAAGAGCCAUAUUUUGUUCUCAUAAUAAGUAACAACGGCGAUGCAACAAGAGAUCAUUGAGCAACAGUUGACAGAAAUAACUCAGAAUCUUAUGAUAUUUUGAGUUUUUCAAUCAGAUUGAAGGACCAAGUAGUCCAAGUGAUAGCGAUCUAGUAAGUCGAUCUACGGAACGUGGUAAGCUCACUCUUAUUCUUGUCAUUCAGCAGAAUAUUUUUGUAUUCAUUCAUGCUUUUCAGUUUUCAGAAUUUAUUUAUAUGUAUUGCUUUCUGACUUACAUACUUGGUACAUCUCAUUGUACUAACGUCCCAUUGCUGGGGUGCUGCAUUUCAUGCCUGCAAGUGCAAGUAGUCAGUUUGACGAGCUCUCAAAAUAGAUAGGAUUGAUAUUCAGCGGAAAAUCGGUAAGACUCCAUCUCUUUAGGAGCAUAGCCGAGUUUAGAGGUCAUGAUAUCGGAUUUUGUUAUAGACUUACGGGUAGGCGGGGGCCUAUCCUGAUGAUAUUUUGAUGUCAGAUAUUCUUAGAGGCUUUGUAGACACAGGAUCAACAUGUAUAUGAUUUCUUUCUAGGUUGCCCGAUAUUGAUACUGGGAGGCCUGAGCAUGUAUUGAUGUUUUGAGUAUGAUGGCUAGCUGAUAUGAUGCUUGGACGCCUACGAUAUAUUACAAGUUGCGCCCUAUUGGCCUAUGUAUGUUUUAAGUUACGUCUAACAUUCAAGAGUUGCAAUGGUUCACUCGGUCCAGUACGGCACCGAGUGCCAGCCAUGCCUCACCUAAGUUGGGGUCUGCACAUGUGGAGAUACAAGGCGGGAAUAUUAUUAUGCGUGUGCGGUGAGACAAGGCAAACAUUUACUUUAUUGUUGUGCACGUGGUGAGACAAGGGGGGCUAUGUCGGGGAUGAUUUGUGAUGGCUUGUGAUGGUAUGCGGGUGUUUUUAUUUAUGAUAUUUGUGUACAUUUUGUUGUGUUGUUUCCUUUGUGUCGUUCGUUGUCUUUACUCAUAAUUGUUGACUCAAGUUGUGAUAGAACACUUGCACAAGCAUACACGUAAUUAAUCACUCAUAUUGGUUUAAGAAGAUGAAUCCUGAUGUUCAUUGAUCAUUUACAUGUAUUCUCAUUUACUUGCCUUUUGUGUGAGAGUUGCAUUGUUAGCACGUGAGUUGUCCGUGCAGUUAUGAGUUAUGGCUAGUGUUGGCACGUGAGUUGUUUUUGCAGUUAAGAUUCAUUGUUAUUGUUGGCACGUGGGUUGUCCGUGCAGAUAUGAGGUACUAAUAGUAUUGGCACGCGAGUUAUCCGUGUAGCGUGUGAGUUGUCCGUACAAUUGUGAAUAUUAAUGUGGGCACAAUAUGCCAAGUGAUUAGGGUCCAUGACUUGGGAAACCCGAAUUGUGGUGAUGAGCUGUGGUACUUCAAGAAAGUACUUGUAUAAAUCUAACAUGUAACCGGUUGUUUAUUUGGUUGCUACCUAUUUUUCCUUACUUGUUUUCACCGGACCUUAAAUGUAUUCAGCUUACUUUACGAUGAUAUUACUCGUUUGUUCCUUGUUGUAAGUAUUGUUGUUUUACCAUGCUUAGCUUUAUAUUGAUAUUGUUCCAUGUUAGUUUCACAUUUAUACUUGCACAGGUUAUUAUGUCUAGUAGGUGUCGUGACUGUUCCUCGUCACUACUCCACUGAGGUUAGUCUUGAUACUUACUAGAUACCGUUGUGGUAUACUCAUGCUAUGCUUUCUGCAUAUUUUUGGGGAGUUCCAGGUACUUCGGAGGUUAUUGAUCAUUAGAUAGCUGAUCAGAUAUUGCUGCGGAGACUUCAAGGUAUACCUACCAUCGCGUUCGCAGGCCUCAGAGUCACCCUCUAAAGUUUAUUUUGUAUAGUUUAUUUUUAUUCCAGAACAGUUGUACUUAGAGACUUUCUUGUGAACUUAGUAAAGUUUAUGACUUGUACUACCGAUUUUGGGCUAUUGUAUUGUACUUGGGAUUGUUAGGUUAUUAUAGAAAUUUUUGUUUCAUGCUUAAUAGCUAAUUGGUUAAAAUAUGUUAUGAAUUCAGUAAGUGCUAGGAUUACCUAGUCUUAGAAACUAGGUGCCAUCACGAUAUCCUACGAAGGGAAAUUAUGGUCAUGACACCUAUAGUGUGAAUGUGACGUGAUAGCUUGGUAUUAGAGAACUAGGUUCACAUAGGUGUCACGAGUUAUGAGCAGGACUAGUAGAGUUUUGCGUAUCGGUACAGAGACGUAUGUACUUAUCUUCGAGAGGGUGUAAGGCAUUAGGAAACUUCUCUUUCUUCAUUUUCUUAUCAUGUUGUCGAUAUUGUUCUAAGUCUAAAUCUUUCUCUUAUUCUCUCAUAGAUGGUGAGAACAUGUGCGAUGGCACUAGCUGCCAGUAGAAGGACUAUGCCUCCUGCGGUAGAGGUAGAGGUAGAGGCUGUGGGUGGGCCAGUGCUCCUACCAGAGGAUGAGGGAAUUCUAGAGUAGUUCUAGAGGCACCACUAGUAGAUCUAGUUAAGGAUCCUAUUAUUGAGGGGCAAGGCGAGACAUUUGUAGCUAAGCAAGUCCCGACAUAUUUCACAACCGUACUAGGCUUUCAAGAGGGCAUGGGUCGUAUGUUAAGAUUUAUGGAUGCUAUGAACCAAGUCGGACCUGUUCCAGUGGAUCCAACCAUAUCUUAGGACAUAGGGGGAUUCCAGAACCUUACCACUCAUACACCGACGCAUGCUUCUGCUAUUAUUUAGGCCCUGGGGCAUUACCUGCAAGCAGUGUUUAGCUAGUUAAAAUAGCCAGAGUAGAUAUUAGACCUCCUGUGACUGCCGAUGAGCAGAAGUGUAAUGACCCAAACCGAUGGGCUGCGACGGGCACCCGGUACCUUACUCAACCGAGUACCAACAUAACAUAUUUUUCAUAUAAUUCUAUCAUAGGUAAAUGAACCGGAGUAAAGCAUGAGAGAAUACAAACUUAUAUAUAUGAAGUACGGGCCUAUAAGGCGGGCAUGAUUCUUUACAUACUCGAAAUAUAGGCAAACAAGGCCAUAUAAGUAUCCGUAUACAUGACAUCUGUCUACAAGCCUCUAAGAAUACAUAAUGUCAUAAAGUUCGGGGCAGGGUCUCGCCAUACCAAUCAAUACAUGUACUAAUCAUACUGACCAAAAAGCAACUCCGGAGAAAAUGGAGCGCACCAACACCUUCCACUGAGCUGACAUCCUACUUGGAGGACUCUUGACCUGUCUAUCAGACUUGUGGGCAUGAAACGCAGCAUCCCCAGGCAAAAGGGAUGUCAUUAUGAAUAAUAUACCGAGUAUGUAAGACACCUAAAUAAGUAUAUAAAAGACAUGAAGGAGAUAUAAAGUAAAUGACUCAACUUGUAAGUCUGGAUAACUCUGUAAAUCAUGAAAUACUUAUAAUGCCAUACAUAUGCGUAUGAAUGUCAUGUCGUGCAUAGGUACAUGUGUUUAUAAUAUCAUCCAGCCUCUGAGGGCAUCCCAUCAUAUCAUCUUGGCCACUGUGGGCAAAAUCAUCAACGCAUACCUGCUGAUCAGGUGGUGGUGCAUAUGUAACGCCAUAACCUUUUUCCAUAACCUCUCUCUCUCUCU
rnacentral:lncRNA from 1 species